CAUUGUAUGAUGCUUCAUGAAUUGUUUCUUUCACACACUAAUAAACUGUAUUGUUGUUUUUUAAUUUUUUACAGGUACUAGGCGAAUAAUGUCGAUCAGCAGGCACUUGCAGCAGGUAAGUAGGCACCUUUGUGCAUAAUUCAGGUGAGUACAGGGAACUCGAGGUCCAUAGGAACCCGGCACUGGCUUGGUUAGGUGAAGGAAAAUCCAGAAUCCGAAUCCCGAAGGAUUCGAAAACGGUUGUGCACGGUCCUGAGUCCCACCGGCCGCCAAGAGUCACAAGCACACCCCCAAAUCACACACACAACAGCCAACACUUCCCCACAGAAAGCCAACGCCAGUCUAAAAUAUUUUUUUAGGCUCUGUAAAAAAUCCCAAACCCGGGCUACAGCCACACGGGCUGUUUUUCUCAGGGGUGUGUGAAGAAAAACCGAUGGUAGGUUAAGGUUUAGAUGUGGUUAAGGGGUAUAUUACUCUAAAAGUACACAUCUCAACGUCUGUAUGGACGGAGAAGAAAAAUUGAAUAAACAUAUAUUGUGCUCAGACGCAUCACCACCCUAAUGAUGCCGGCUGUUUAUUUUUAAAUGUCUUCAAAUUUUGUCAUUCAGGUCUGGCGAAUUCAAUGACAAAAUGACUCUGACCCAGCUCGCUCCAGCAUUUAUGUGCCAGGAGGGCGGGGCUUCUCACCUCGCAACCAAUAGCAACCGAUAACCACCUUCAGCAUUGUAUGAUGCUUCAUGAAUUGUUUCUUUCACACACUAAUAAACUGUAUUGUUGUUUUUUAAUUUUUUACAGGUACUAGGCGAAUAAUGUCGAUCAGCAGGCACUUGCAGCAGGUAAGUAGGCACCUUUGUGCAUAAUUCAGGUGAGUACAGGGAACUCGAGGUCCA